rnacentral:rRNA from 1 species
GUAGGGAAUAUUGGGCAAUGGAGGCAACUCUGACCCAGCCAUGCCGCGUGCAGGAAGACGGUCCUCUGGAUUGUAAACUGCUUUUAUUCGGGAAUAAACCUCUUUACGUGUAGGGAGCUGAAGGUACCGAAGGAAUAAGCACCGGCUAACUCCGUGCCAGCAGCCGCGGUAAUACGGAGGGUGCAAGCGUUAUCCGGAAUCAUUGGGUUUAAAGGGUCCGCAGGCGGGCUAUCAAGUCAGAGGUGAAAUCCCACAGCUUAACUGUGGAACUGCCUUUGAAACUGAUGGUCUUGAAUUAAGUGGGCGUUGGCGGAAUAUGACAUGUAGCGGUGAAAUGCAUAGAUAUGUCAUGGAACACCGAAAGCGAAGGCAGCUAACGAUACUUAUAUUGACGCUCAUGGACGAAAGCGUGGGUAGCGAACAGGAUUAGAUACCCGAGUAGUCC